AUUUUGUGCCUCAAGAUUGGUCUGGCGAGCUUCAUUAGUCUCCAGUAGAGACUGAAUGGAUGUGAGGCGGUCCUGGAUGGCCUGAAAGAGGUCUUCCAAUUCCUUGGAGAUCUGCUUAGGAGGCAUGGAGGAAGACAAUGAAAGCACCAAUGAUAAAGUAAGCUACAAUGACUACCAAAUUAACCAAUACUCAGAAAAAAAUAUUAGGGUAAAAGUUUA
rnacentral:lncRNA from 1 species